AUGGCCAUGGAGGCCGACGACGACGACCUGUGGGGCGCGGUCACCACCAGCCCCAGCGCCUCGCCCCCGCCGCCCUCCUCAUCCGCCGCCGCCAUCUCCACCGCGCUCAGCCUCAACACCCGCCUGCAGCUGCUCGCGGCCUCCGGCGUCGGCGGCUCCCCGUUCCACCCCGGCGGCGUCGGCGUCGGCUCGCCGUUGCACCCGGGCGGCGGCUGCUACCGCAAUGCGGCCGCGUCCCCGACCUCCUUCUUCUCCUCCGCGGCGGCCUCCUUCCCCCGCAUCGCGCCCGACGCCGGCCCCGCGCGCCGCGCGCUCGAGCGCGAGAUGUGCUACGGCCACGGCGCCGCCGCCUGGCCCGGCCCCCCCGCCGCCGCCGCGCCCGUGGACCGGCGCAAGAAGCGCAUGAUCAAGAACCGCGAGUCGGCGUCCCGGUCGCGCGCGCGCAAGCAGGCCCACGUCACCCAGAUCGAGUCGGAGGUGCACCAGCUGCGCGAGGAGAACGAGCAGCUCCGCCUCAAGUACGACCAGCUCAAGGCUUCAGUGGAGGUGUCGGUGCCGGUGAGGAAGACCCUGCAGAGGGUGCUCUCGGCGCCCUUCUGA
rnacentral:rRNA from 1 species